CGAAGAGCAGAUAGGGAUUUGCGAGCUAAAAUGGGGUUUAUCGCGGCGCCUAGGGUUAAAAGGGGCGGCGAGAAGACGGCCGGCGUGGCAACGGCGAGUCGACACGGUCGGUGGCAGGCGACGCGGGUUCGAGAUGGAGAGAUAUCUCCGCAGCUGCUGCUACGGGUAAACAAACAGAGGACAACGAGAUGGGGGGCGCAGUGAGUGCCGGGCGGCGCUGGUCGUGGCGGCGAGUCGCGACGGCGGUGGCAGGGCACAGCGAUGGUGAAGAGAGAAAGAGGCCAGGUCCGAUUUGGGGGAAAUUUUGAGGUGUUAGCGUGAAAAUUGAGCGGGAGCAAUGAAUAGGGAUUUUUGGCGUUGAAGAAAUGAAGUCAAAUCUUUUUCUUUCUUUUUUUUCUUUUGUUUCACUUUAAUUAUUUAAUUUUUGGUAUUUAGGUUUCUAAUAAUGUAUUUAGAUUUUAUUAUUUUUCAAAGUCUAUAACUAGAAAUAAAUUCAGAUUUUAGGAUAAAUAAUUUAUUUGUUAUUUUUUAGUAUAA
rnacentral:lncRNA from 1 species